GGUCGUGUGGUGCAAUGGUAGCACUCUGGGCCUCAACCCCCAGAGAUCCCGGUUCGACCCCGGGCACGGCCU